UACGAAGGGUGCAAACGUUGCUCGGAAUCAUUGGGCGUAAAGCGCACGUAGGCGGCGCUCUAAGUCGGAUGUGAAAUCCCUCGGCUCAACCGAGGAAGUGCAUCCGAAACUGGAGUGCUCGAGUAUGCAAGAGGGUCGCGGAAUUCUCGGUGUAGAGGUGAAAUGCGUAGAUAUCGGGAGGAACACCAGUGGCGAAGGCGGCGACCUGGGGCAAUACUGACGCUGAGGUGCGAAAGCGUGGGGAGCAAACAGG
rnacentral:rRNA from 1 species